rnacentral:rRNA from 1 species
UACGGAGGGGGCUAGCGUUGUUCGGAAUUACUGGGCGUAAAGCGCGCGUAGGCGGACCUGCAAGUCGGGGGUGAAAGCCCGAGGCUCAACCCCGGGUCUGCAUUCGAUACGGGCUAGCUAGAGUGCGGAAGGGGCAACUGGAAUUCUCGGUGUAGCGGUGAAAUGCGUAGAUAUCGAGAGGAACACCUGCGGCGAAGGCGGGUUGCUGGGCCGACACUGACGCUGAUGCGCGAAAGCCAGGGGAGCGAACGGG